UACGUAGGGCGCAAGCGUUGUCCGGAAUUAUUGGGCGUAAAGAGCUCGUAGGCGGUCUGUCACGUCGGAUGUGAAAGCCCGGGGCUUAACCCCGGGUCUGCAUUCGAUACGGGCAGACUAGAGUGUGGUAGGGGGAGAUCGGAAUUCCUGGUGUAGCGGUGAAAUGCGCAGAUAUCAGGAGGAACACCGGUGGCGAAGGCGGAUCUCUGGGCCAUUACUGACGCUGAGGAGCGAAAGCGUGGGGAGCGAACAGG
rnacentral:rRNA from 1 species